rnacentral:lncRNA from 1 species
GCUUCGAAGUCCCAGGCCAGGGUGUAUUUUUAGCCCAAGCUCAAAAAAUUGUCAGAAAAACUUGCAAGGGCUCCAGGGCCAACAGCAGCAUUUGGUUUUGGCUGAAACUAGAGGGACAGAAACCACAUGCCUCAGAGGGACACAGAAAGGGGUCUGGGGGCGGGUAGCCAGGAUGUCCUGGGGCCUUGCUGUGAAGAGUGGAGGCCUCUGUGGAGGACCCAGGAAGCUGGAAGAGCAGAUAGAAGUCAGGACGCUCCGCCAAAGUGUCCCCACUUCCCGACAAGUUCUGUGUCUCCUCUGCUGGAAGGGAGAGGGUCAGGCCAGAAGCUGCCAUGGCUCCAGCAGACUUGCAAAGGGAAACGGACAGGAUAUGUGCCAGAGUAAGCAGCCAGCUUAUUAUUUCAAAGCGUUCCUUCCUUUGAGAUUCUGUCCUCCUCACCGGCCCCCACUGGACUUAGAGAUGGAAGACCCGGAUUUGAGAUCCAGCCACACUGCUUGCUAAGACUGUGUGACCUUAGGUGAGAUAAUUGAUUUAUCUUUUUUUAACUUGCUAUCUUAUAUUGGAGUAUAGUUAAUUAACAAGAUUGGGUAUCGGGUGUACAACAAAGUGAUUCAGUUAUACAUUUACAUGUAUGAUUCAGUUAUACAUUUACAUGUAUCUAUCUAUCCUUUUUUCAAAAAUUUUUCACCAUUAGGUUGCUACAGAGUACUGAGCAGAGUUCUUUGUGCUACACAGUAGGGUACGUGCAUCCCAACGUCCAUUGCAGCGUUGUUUACACUAGCCGAGUCAUGGAAGCAACGUAAAUGUCCAUCAACAGAAGGAUGGAUAAAGAAUAUGUGGUAUAGAUACACAAUGGAAUAUUACUUCGCCAUUAAAAAGAGUGAACUAAUGCCAUUUGCAGCAACACGGAUGGACCGAGAGAUUAUCACACUAGGUGAAGUAAGUCAGAUGAGGCACUUUAAACCCUCAUACUUACUGUCUUUAUCAGAGUAGGAGGCUAAUUCUGCUGACUUCAUCUGUUUGUGAUGAGACUCAAUAAUAAUGAUGGAUGGGAUAGUGAUCUAUGGACUAACUGCUGAGAAAUGCUUGUAAAGUGCUCUGACCAUUUCUUAGUACCAUCAUUAAAAUAAUCAUGAUUAUAAUGACCUGUUUAAGGGGAAACAACCAGCUUUGUUUUCAGACUUAGAUUUAAAUCUUGGCUCUGCUAUAUAUUAGCUGUGUAACUUUGAGCAAAAGAUUAUUAAAUUUAUCUAUGCCUUAAUCUCCUCAUUCAUAAAAAUGGACAUAAGACCAUCUAAUUAAUAAGACUGUUGGGGAAGUUUAAGAGAGAACAUAGGAAAAGUGUCUGCUAUGCAGCAAGUUUCCAACAAAUGUUUCUUUUUCUUUUUACCUUUGAUUAAUUCCUUUGGGUAUUCUUUCAAUGUUUAUUGAACAUCUAUUAUAAGCUGGAUCUUGUGCCAAGCACUUGAAAGUCAAGAGAUAAAGAUUUGAGAAAUGCAGUGUGUGGCAAGGAUGGGAAAGAUACUAUAGCAAUUCAACGGGCUGAGUGGUUUACACAACCAACUGAGAGGGACAGAUGAAUCCUGUCCAGGAGCUCAGAUGACACUUGACCCUGGCUUUGAAAAUGUGCACAGGACAUCUCCAAGACAGAGACACCAGGAGAGGGCAUUUUAAGCAGGGAGACUUGGAACAAAGGCUCUGAUGCCUAGAAGUGCACGAUCUGUCAGUGGCAGGAGACGAGGCUAAAGAAAGCAAGAACCAGAUUAGAAGCAUGCAAGCAAUCGAUGCAAAGACGUUGGACCUUAUCAGAGGGCAUUGGGAAGCCUUUUAGAGGAUAUAAGCACGGAAGUGACAUGAUCAGAUUUGCAUUUUAGAAAAGCUGCCUAGCAUCUGAGGAAUGGCCUGGAGUGGAAAGGGGGGCAAGCAGUAGAGUAAGAACAGAGGCAAGAACAAGAACAAGAAGCAAGUGGGAUGGAAGUAAUUCAGGGGACAGAUAAGGCUCAAAUUAGGGAACUAGCAGCGGGAAAGAAGAGGUUGUGAACUAAGUGAAAAUUUAGCUUAGCGAAAUAAAGGAAUAAGAGUUGACUUGGGUGUCUGACUCAGGAAAGAGGGAGGGUGGUGACGCCAUGAACUCAGAGAGGAAACAAACUUGAUAUAAAUGAUCCCCAAAUGUGCCUUCUUCAGAUUCCAGAGACGCUGGGAAUAGGAGUGACCUUGUGAUGAGCUAAUGAUGUUCCUCUGAUUAGGGACGAGAUUAAGGGGUUAAUAUCCUCAAGCCUUUUAAGGCUGAGAGAAAAGGAGUACCUCCUUUCAUGUCCCAUUUGUGUACUUUGGAGGAGGAGUCAAUGUGAUUGUUUCAAAGAGUAUGAACAUUACUAUAUUAUUUUACAACUGCUUUGCAACCAUAACUACUAUAUUAUAUGAUAUAAUGUGG